GAAAAAGAGGCGAUUUAUGUGGAUAUUUGCAGGGAGAAAGAGAGGCAAGUUCUUCAUUCCCAUUUUCAGAUUUAAUCUAAAAAUCUUUAACCAUCAAGAGAAAGUGUGUUUGUACAUCGAGUAGCAGAAGAUUAUCUCAGUUGAUGCAGGAGUUUAUGUACAUUACUAAUCUUUUGAUUUUCUUCCGAAUAUAGACUAGAAUGUCUAAAAGUUAACCUAAUUUCUACAUAUGAUUUUCUUUUGAAACUGCGAGUAACUUACCGAUCUUCAUCGGUUAAUUCGAGUUUUUCAUAUCUCAUCAACUGCACGAGAGAAAAAUACCAUUAGAACAGAUCUGGUGUAGUGAAGGUAAAAGAUGAUAAAGAUGAGUUCCCAACUUAUGUUGCUAUGCUUGCAGCCCAAGAUGCUACAACACGGUGCAAGGUUAAAUUUACCUAUGCAAAUCUGGAUGUUAUCCAACUGGAACUUGGCGUGGUUGACAUUUUUAUCAAUAUGUGCAGACUAGAGUGGCAGUCUGGCUAUCAUGGAUUUUGGAUUGUCUGGAUCUUUGC